rnacentral:rRNA from 1 species
CAGUAGCCACGGUAAUACAGAGGGUGCGAGCGUUAAUCGGAUUUACUGGGCGUAAAGCGUGCGUAGGCGGCUUUUUAAGUCGGAUGUGAAAUCCCUGAGCUUAACUUAGGAAUUGCAUUCGAUACUGGGAAGCUAGAGUAUGGGAGAGGAUGGUAGAAUUCCAGGUGUAGCGGUGAAAUGCGUAGAGAUCUGGAGGAAUACCGAUGGCGAAGGCAGCCAUCUGGCCUAAUACUGACGCUGAGGUACGAAAGCAUGGGGAGCAAACAGGAUUAGAUACCCCCAGUAGUCCCUGUCUCUUAUU